GUAAAUCUAAUGACGAGAGAAAGUAGUCUGGACCAUUGCUUUCCAGAGAGCUGGCGGCCGGUGCGAGCCAGUACGGUGAUACAGAUGAAGCUCCUCUCCGAAGAUCGACGCUGAACUUUAUUAGGCGCCGACGGCAUUUCACCGUUACCAGAAACGCGUAUGUUGGUACGUUGUAGAGAGUCCGGCUGCAGUAAUGCACCGGGAAUCAGGGUGGUAUCGCGGAAUUAUACUCCGUCCCUUAC
rnacentral:ncRNA from 1 species